rnacentral:rRNA from 1 species
GACGAACGCUGGCGGCGUGCUUAACACAUGCAAGUCGAACGCUGAACCCGCUUCGGUGGGGGAUGAGUGGCGAACGGGUGCGUAACACGUGGGCAACCUGCCCCCGGCUCUGGGAUAACUCCAAGAAAUUGGGGCUAAUACCGGAUGUGACCGCUGGCCGCAUGGUCUGGUGGUGGAAAGGGUUUCCGGCUGGGGAUGGGCCCGCGGCCUAUCAGCUUGUUGGUGGGGUAGUGGCCUACCAAGGCGACGACGGGUAGCCGGCCUGAGAGGGUGACCGGCCACACUGGGACUGAGACACGGCCCAGACUCCUACGGGAGGCAGCAGUGGGGAAUAUUGCGCAAUGGGCGGAAGCCUGACGCAGCGACGCCGCGUGGGGGAUGACGGCCUUCGGGUUGUAAACCUCUUUCAGCAGGGACGAAGCGCAAGUGACGGUACCUGCAGAAGAGGCACCGGCCAACUACGUG